rnacentral:rRNA from 1 species
AUUGAACGCUGGCGGCAUGCCUUACACAUGCAAGUCGAACGGCAGCACGGGUGCUUGCACCUGGUGCGGACGUGGCGGAACGGGGUGAGUAACGUACAUCGGAAUGUACCUUGUAGUGGGGGAUAGCUCGGCGAAAGCCGGAUUAAUACCGCAUACGCUCUGAGGAGGAAAGCGGGGGACCUUCGGGCCUCGUGCUACAAGAGCAGCCGAUGUCAGAUUAGCUUGUU